rnacentral:rRNA from 10 species
CUCUACAGCCAUACCACCCUGAACGCACCCGAUCUCAUCUGAUCUCAGAAAAAUAGAAACAGGAUUUUGCUAUAUUGC